GCCACCCUGGGUGUCAAUCCCUGCACAGCCUACAGGAUGUUGAUGGACUUCGAGCAACUGCAGCCAGGGGAUUCUGUCAUCCAGAAUGCAUCCAACAGCGGAGUGGGGCAAGCGGUCAUCCAGAUCGCCGCAGCCCUGGGCCUAAGAACCAUCAAUGUGGUCCGAGACAGACCUGAUAUCCAGAAGCUGAGUGACAGACUGAAGAGUCUGGGGGCUGAGCAUGUCAUCACAGAAGAGGAGCUAAGAAGGCCCAAAAUGAAAAACUUCUUUAAGAUUAGGAAACUAAGACUCAGAAAAGAGGAAAUGCUUAACCAAAAUCAUAUAGUUUAUAAGGGCUCCAGAGAGUCAGAGCUGGCCUCAGUCUCUCCGAACUCAAAGCCUCUUAACCUUCCAGAACCUCCACCCCACAACAUGCCUAGACAUGCCCCAGCCACGGCUUGCUCUCAACUGUGUUGGUGGGAAAAGCUCCACAGAGCUGCUGCGGCAGUUAGCGCGUGGAGGAACCAUGGUAACCUAUGGGGGGAUGGCCAAGCAGCCCGUCGUAGCCUCUGUGAGCCUGCUCAUUUUUAAGGAUCUCAAACUUCGAGGCUUUUGGUUGUCCCAGUGGAAGAAGGAUCACAGUC
rnacentral:sRNA from 1 species